UCUUUUACAGUGAAGAAGUCUUUUUUAACAGGCAGACUGUCAGAUUUCCUCUAACAACAAAACAACUGGCAAAGCUUGUUUUCCUGGUUUCGUUUAUAAGGAAAGUGAAAUCUAAAGGGAGUUACUACAGCCUCACACAAACAUACAGACCAGCCAUCGAAAGCAGCAGAUUUACACAGGACGUGGUGGAGGACUUGCUGCUGUUUACCAGGACAAACUCAUAUGCAAACUGAUGACCUCGGACUUCUUUUCUUCAUUUGAGUCACAGAUGAUGAAGGUCUGUUCCCUGAAAACCUUUUACUGUAUUUUAAUCUAUCGACCUCCUGGACCUGCUGGGGUCUUUCUAACUGAAUUUAACGACCUUCUGACAUCGAUCAUUAAACUGGAGAAGGUUGUAAUAUUGGGAGACUUAAACCUUCAUAUUGAUGACGCUUCCUGUAACACUGCUGCUGAGCUCAUCACUAUCACUGAGUCUUUUAACUUUAAGCAACAUGUUUCUGGCCCCACACAUACAAAGGGCCACACUCUUGAUCUUGUUUUCUCCCUGGGUUUAAAUAUACAUGAUGUAUGUGUGGAAGAUGUCCAUGUGAGUGACCAUAGUUAUAUAUUCUUUAAUUUGUCAUUUUACGUGGAUCCUUCACCUCCUAAAUUGAUGAUCCAAAGGCGGAUUAUAAACCAGGAUGCUGCUAGAAGGUUUUCUGCCAUGUUUGUCCCUCGCAUGGCUCAAAAUGAUAUGGAUUCACUUAUUUUGUCUUUUAACAAUCAAUGUAAAUCUAUUUUAGAUACAGUGGCACCUCUGAAACUAAAUGUUGUCCAUUCUUCAAAUUUCUGUCCCUGGAUAAAUGAAAAUAUUCGAAAUUUUAGGAGAUAUUGUCGCAAAUUAGAACGUUUAUGGAAGGCUUCCAAGCUUGAGGUCCAUAGGGUACAUCUCAAGGAAUCAAUUUUCUCACUUAACGACAUGAUAAAAAAAUGCCAGAACUGAAUAUUUUGCUAAUCUAAUAGCUUCAA